rfam:Planctomycetes bacterium RBG_16_55_9 RBG_16_scaffold_5078, whole genome shotgun sequence.
GCCAACGUAGCUCAACGGCAGAGCUCUGGUUUUGUAAACCAGUGGUUGUCGGUUCGAAUCCGACCGUUGGCU